AGCUGCUGCAAUCCUGUGGAGGACCAUCGCCUCCUCGGCCACCACAGCACACGAGGUGCUGCCAACGCUGCUCGGGGUGAUGGAGGACUGGCCACUGCACAGCGUGUGCACCUCCAACGGGGACCACGUGGACGUCUUUGCCCUGGCUGUGAGUUUCUGGAAGUGGCCUUUGCUCCUCCCCACGUUGCCUCUCCAGCGACUCUCCAUCUUCCCCCACCCUUGCAUCUCCCUCAGGCCUUGGGCUGCAAAUGGGGCUGAGGGGCAGGUCCAGGGGCAGCAGGCCGGCUGCUCCCCCUGGCUCUCCCUGGCCUCUCCCUCCCUCUGGGCACUGAGGGUGUCUCCACGGGGCUUUCUUGCAGGCAACCCUGGCCCUGUGGCUGAUGGUCCAGGAGCUCCAGUGCCAAGAUGCACUGUUCGUUUAUGCCCCUCGUCUCCUCCUGGCUCUGCUCUGCCAAGUUUCUAUGAGCACUGAGCAGAUGCCACAGGAGGUCAGCACCUUCUGGAGGGGAUGCCAGGAGCUACACGGCCUUCCUACCCACCCCAACAGCUUUGUGGUGCAGACCAUCCGGGCCCUGCUCUGCCGGCUGCAGUGGGACCAGGAGCUGGUGUCAGUGGAGCGCAAGCGUGGCUGGGACGCGCUCCUCUCUGCUGACACCCACCACUACGCGGUGGGGCUGCUGGCCAGGGAGAUGCGCCACGUGUUGGUCCCCUCCUAUGGCCCGCUGGCAAGGCACCUGCUGGGGCUGCUCAGCACGGAGGGGCCCCGCUGGGAGCUGCCUGCCCUGGCCUUCCUUGUCGAGGUGAGCCCGAUGGCCAGCGCUGCCUGGCCCCGCUGCCUCCCCCUCUCUGCCCUCUCACAGCCGCAGCUGCCCGGGACGGUGCCUGCGCCCUGUGCUGCUGCCUGGGCCCAGCCCUGGCCGGCUCCGCGCUCCUGCCGCCCGCCCACCCUGGCACUGCUCUCUGCCUUCCAGGUCCUCGACUAUCUGGAUGUGAACACCCGUCAUGACAGUGUCCUGCAGAUCCUGGCAAGGCACCUGCAGAGCCAGUGCCCAGAGAGGCGGCGCCUGGCUCUGCGAGGGCUCCUGGUGCUCAGCGGGGAUCCCUCCAUGGCCAAAAGCAUCUGCAGCCUGUCUGAGCCCUUCCUGGAGCUGCUGCGUGAUAGAGAUGGAGAGCUGGUCAGGAUGACCCUCUCCCUGUUCCUGAAUGUGCUCCAGGAUGAGGAAGACAGGAAGGGACUCAGCUCCACUGCCCCGAGGAUGACUGAGGCGCUCCGGCCAGUCUUUGACAACGACAACAGCCACGUGCAGCUGCUGUCCAUUCGCCUCUUCCGAGAGGUGAUGGAGGUGCUGGCGGAAGAGGGAACAGAGCCCUGGGAGAUGCAGGUGCGCCAGAGCCUGGUCCCACUGUUCUUCCGCUGGCACGACGAGAACCAGCGCGUGGCAGAGGCCGCUCGGGAAGCGCUGCUCUGGGCUGCAAGCUUCCUCCACAGGAAGGACCUGGAGCAGCUGCUGAAGACAGAGCAGCCCUUCAGAUUCUGUGACUACCUGAUGGAAAAGGACAGGAGCCGAAGGGGCGAGCACCUGCAGCAGGCCCUGCCCUACCUGCAGAGCCCACAGGAGCCCCUGCGAGAGGCGGCCGUCAGGUUCAUGGGGGUCGCCGGCUGGCACAUGAGGGAGUGGCAGCAAGACCUGUGGCCCAUCCUCAAGGGUGAGUGAGGGCAGAGGGGCCUCCCUAGGGGCUGCUGGGGACCAGCACACACCCUGGGCAGGGAACUGCAAUCCC
ensembl:lncRNA